rnacentral:ncRNA from 2 species
GACAAGUUAAACCUAUGCGUGGAGGGAAGACCCCUGUAAUAAUCGGGGUGAGCGGUGUAAAUCCGCCACGGUCCCGCCACUGUAAUAAGGAAGGCAAUGCCGCCGUUUUAAAGUCACUGUCCACAUUUAUUUAAUGGAUGGGAAGGCAAGGCGAAAUUGCCCAUGUGCUUCAAGCACGACCUUUAAGUCAGGAUACCCUACGCAACGGUUCUUAAAAA